AGCGAACGCUGGCGGCAGGCCUAAUACAUGCAAGUCGAGCGCACCUUCGGGUGAGCGGCGGACGGGUGAGUAACGCGUGGGAAUAUGCCCUUUGGUACGGAACAACUGAGGGAAACUUCAGCUAAUACCGUAUGUGCCCUUCGGGGAAAGGAUUUAUCGCCAUUGGAGUAGCCCGCGUUGGAUUAGCUAGUUGGUAGGGUAAAGGCCUACCAAGGCUACGAUCCAUAGCUGGUCUGAGGAGGAUGAUCA
rnacentral:rRNA from 1 species